UACGGAAGGCAGCAGUGGGGAAUAUUGCACAAUGGACGCAAGCCUGAUGCAGCCAUGCCGCGUGUAUGAAAAAGGCCUUCGGGUUGUAAAGUACUUUCAGUCGUGAGGAAGGUGUUAAGGUUAAUAACCUUAGCAAUUGACGUUAGCGACAGAAGAAGCACCGGCUAACUCCGUGCCAGCAGCCGCGGUAAUACGGAGGGUGCGAGCGUUAAUCGGAAUUACUGGGCGUAAAGGGCACGCAGGCGGUUAAUUAAGUUGGAUGUGAAAUCCCCGGGCUUAACCUGGGAAUGGCAUUCAAGACUGGUUAGCUAGAGUCUUGUAGAGGGGGUAGAAUUCCAUGUGUAGCGGUGAAAUGCGUAGAGAUGUGGAGGAAUACCGGUGGCGAAGGCGGCCCCUGGACAAAGACUGACGCUCAUGUGCGAAAGCGUGGGGAGCAAACAGGGAUUAGAUACC
rnacentral:rRNA from 1 species